GCUGCCCUCCCCCUCGAAAGGCUGAUGAAGCUCAGUAAGUGCCAGUAUGGGUCUGGCUAGACUGAACAGUUGGGACAACUAAUUUACUUACAGGUUACUGAUAUUUGACAACUUCAGGUGGAGUAAUUACGGUGAUGCAGAAAUUAUGCCCACGAGAAGACUGCUCAGGGUCACCCUGCGUGAGAGCGAUCAUCUGAUGAUCUUCUGUUACCUGAGAACUGCCCU